rnacentral:rRNA from 1 species
UACGUAGGGGGCAAGCGUUGUCCGGAAUCAUUGGGCGUAAAGCGCGUGUAGGCGGCCCGGUAAGUCCGCUGUGAAAGUCGGGGGCUCAACCCUCGGAUGCCGGUGGAUACUGUCGGGCUAGAGUGCGGGAGAGGCGAGUGGAAUUCCUGGUGUAGCGGUGAAAUGCGCAGAUAUCAGGAGGAACACCAAUAGCGAAGGCAGCUCGCUGGGACGGUACUGACGCUAAGGCACGAAAGCUAGGGGAGCAAACAGG